GUUUGAAACUUAAUAUGAUGAACAUAGAACAGAUUUCAACACCUUUUUAGCAAAAGAUGUUCACAUAAACCUGAAAUGAAUAUAGCCAAAGAGGACGUGGUCUUUCAGCACCUCCAGCUAAAAAAUGCUGCAGAGGAACUUCCUGUAUUAAGUACAGAUGGGGUUUCACCAUGUUCGCCAGGAUGGUCUCGAUCUCCUGACCUCGUGAUCUGUCCACCUCUGCCUCCCAAAGUGCUGAGAUUACAGGUGUGAGCCACCACUCCCAGCCUUUGUCAUCAUUUCAGAUAGGGUGAAGGAAUGGUUUAAGUCGCCUCCAAGGUAUCUUGUUGGGGGUGAGGGGUACAGAGGGGUCUUACUGAAUGGUGAUGAAAAAGGGGACACAAGCGAAAAAUCAACAUUGGAGAAAAGAUAACUAAACCCUGGGAAGCUUAAGGAACAAAGUGUAACAAAACAACAUGGAUUGUUUUAUAAAAUACUUUGAGAUAUCCAGGAUUAAAAGUAUGAU
rnacentral:lncRNA from 1 species